UCAAGCUACAAAGAGCACAAGGGGAAUGCCUUGGCACCGAGAGCCGAAGAAGGACGUGACUAACUGCGAUAAGCUGCGGGGAGCCGUAAGUAGGCUUUGAUCCGCAGAUUUCCGAAUGGAGCAAUCCGGCAAGAGGAAAGUCUUGUCAUCAUAUACUGAAUACAUAGGUAUAUGAGGGGAACCGCCUGAACUGAAACAUCUAAGUAGGGCGAGGAAGAGAAAUCAACUGAGAUUCCGUAAGUAGUGGCGAGCGAACGCGGAAGAGGCCAAACCGAGAGUAGUAAUACUUUCGGGGUUCGGACAGAAUACGGCAUUGUAAAGGUUUAGUGGAAUGGAAUGGGAAGUCCAACCGAAGAAGGUGAGAGUCCUGUACACGAAAAGCCUGAACAGCCAUCUGUAUCCAGAGUACCGCCGGACACGUGAAACCCGGUGGGAAUAUGGGGGGACCAUCCUCCAAGCCUAAAUACUACUCGGUGACCGAUAGUGAAGAAGUACUGUGAAGGAAAGGUGAAAAGUACCCCUGACGGGGAGUGAAAAAGAACCUGAAACCUUGUGUUUACAAGCACCGAAAGCUCAUCAAAGAGCGAUCGGGUACCUUUUGUAGAAUGGUCCGGCGAGUGAAUGUAACCGGCGAGGUUAAGCACUUAAGGUGUGAAGCCGCAGCGAGAGCAAGUCUGAAUAGGGCGUAUGAAGUCGGUUGUAUUCGACCCGAAACCGGGUGACCUACCCAUGGUCAGGUUGAAGUAAAGGUAAAACUUUAUGGAGGACCGAACCGACUCCCGUUGAAAUGGUAGCGGAUGAACUGUGGGUAGCGGAGAAAUUCCAAUCGAACCCGGAGAUAGCUGGUUCUCUCCGAAAUAGCUUUAGGGCUAGCCUUGAAAUAGAUUACCGGAGGUAAAGCACUGAAUUGGCUAGGGGCCGAGAGGUUACUGAACCUUAUCAAACUAAGAAUGCCGGAUAAUCGUUUUUCAGGAGUCAGACAGUGGGAGAUAAGUUUCAUUGUCAAAAGGGAAACAGCCCAGACCCACAGCUAAGGUCCCCAAGUAUAGUUAAGUGGAAAAGGAUGUGGAAUUGCACAGACAACCAGGAUGUUGGCUUAGAAGCAGCCACUCAUUUAAAGAGUGCGUAAUAGCUCACUGGUCGAGUGAUUGUGCGCCGAAAAUGUACCGGGGCUAAACUGUGUACCGAAGUCUAGGGAUCGUGAUAAACGAUCGGUAGGGGAGCAACGUGUGCGGGCUGAAGCCGAAGCGGAAGCGACGGUGGACUGCACGGGAGAGAGAAUGCCGGCAUGAGUAGCGAGAGCAAAGUGAGAAUCUUUGCCGUCGAAAGCCUAAGGUUUCCUGAGGAAGGCUCGUCCUCUCAGGGUAAGUCAGGACCUAAGCCGAGGACAAAAGUCGUAGGCGAUGGACAACUGGUUGAUAUUCCAGUACCACCUUUAGCGUUUGACUGAAGCAGUGACACAGAAGGAUAGACAGAGCGCGUGACUGGUAGAGCGCGUCCAAGCGAUGAGGGAGUUGAUUAGUGAAGUACGGUCAACAAUCCUGGGUCGUGAUGGGGACUGAAAAUAAGUAGGGAAGCUGUUGAAUUCACGCUGGCGAGAAAAGCUGCUAAGGAGCGAAAGGGUGCCUGUACCGCAAACCGACACAGGUAGGCGAGGAGAGAAUCCUAAGACGAGCGGGAGAACCCAUGUUAAGGAACUCGGCAAAAUGACCCUGUAACUUCGGGAUAAAGGGAGCCACGAGAGUGGCCGCAGAGAAUAGGCCCAAGCGACUGUUUACCAAAAACACAGGUCUGUGCGAAGUAGAGAUACGACGUAUACGGGCUGACGCCUGCCCAGUGCCGGAAGGUUAAGGGGAAGUGUUAGGGCAACCGAAGCACGGAACUUAAGCCCCGGUGAACGGCGGCCGUAACUAUAACGGUCCUAAGGUAGCGAAAUUCCUUGUCGGGUAAG
rnacentral:rRNA from 1 species